GGCCGUAUAGUGUAGCGGUCAGCACGCGAGGUUCUGAUCCUUGAAACCCCGGUUCAAAUCCGGGUAUGGCCU